UACAGAGGCCUCAAGCGUUAUCCGGAAUCACUGGGCGUAAAGGGUGUGUAGGCGGCUAUGUUAGUCCUUCGUAAAAGCUUUCUGGCUUAACCAGGAAAAUGCGGCGGAAACGGCAUAGCUUAGAGGUUGCGAGAGGUAUGCGGAACUCAUAGUGUAGGGGUGAAAUCCGUUGAUAUUAUGGGGAACACCAAAUGCGAAGGCAGCAUACUGGCGCAAAUCUGACGCUGAAACACGAAAGCGUGGGAAUCGAACGGG
rnacentral:rRNA from 1 species